ensembl:lncRNA
GGGCAAUCAAUGCACACAGGUUUAACCAGCCGUCGCCGCACACCCUUAAGGGCUCCAGUUAAAUAGUCCAAAAAUAGCGGGCUGUGUCUCUUCCUAAUAUCACGAGGCCAAGGAGAGGUGUGAACGAUAAUUCAUUAGCACUUAAAGGAAAAGAAAACGGUGGUGCUGGGAAUCAGACUGCAAUUACAAUCUUUGUGUUGUCAUGGUGAUCGUUUGUUUUGUGAACGACUGAAUGGUGCGUGGCUUGGUUGACGCCUCAAGGUUCUGUGGGAAGGCAUUUUUUCCCUUCCUCUCGUAAAGGAUGGAUGGUCCGGUCUACCCUAUGCUGAAGGCGAUGAUUAUUUUUCCGUCAGGCACCUUCAUAAGCUAAAACUCCAAUUUGACCGCAGGCAGGAAGAGCUCUGUCAUGUUGGGAUUUCACACAUACUCUUCUGCUCUUUACAAACUCGGCAAUAAAGCGGUUUAUACAUCAACAAGCCGUGUCCUCGACAUAUGGUCAACUAUCAGUGAUACGUAUCAGACGUGUUUGUGUAAAAAUUUAAAACAACGCACAUUUAUUUGUAUAUAAUAAAGAUACUGUGGGUGAUGUAUCCGCAUUCCUUCCUCUCCAGCUUCCUCUCUCAUGGUGACGACAAGGUCAAGGGGAAAUGGAGUAAAGGGUUUUGAGGAAACAUGAUCGCAACCUGUUGAAUUGUAACCGUAAAUUAUUAUCUACUGCAGCUAGGGAAUUUAUUUCAAUUAAUUUGUUUUCCUUUUUUUUGUCAUAUUAGAAGUUGUCAUAUUUUGAUUUUUUUUAAUGGAUUAUUGAAUUGAUUAACUUUUCAUCAUGACAAUGAGCCUAUUUAAAUAUUUUAUAAUGUCAUAAUGUCAUAAUGUCUCAAAUUAUGAAAUCACUAUGUGGAAGCCAAAAAGCCUCGGAAAUAGUUUUGAGAUGACGAAAGAGUGCCAUCUAUUGGCCAAUGCAUCUAUUGAUUGAUUGAUUAUCUACUUACGAGAUGUAAAUUAUUUGAUAUCAUCUUAUUGCAGUUCAAGCAAAUGUAUUUUUAGAAUAAAUAAAAUAGUUGGGUUCAAUUAUUUUUUAUUAUUAAGUAUCAAUUUAAUUUUGACACAUUAACGAAAUGCAGUGUUUGAAUCUAAAUUUAGCGCAACAUAAAGGCAAUAUCAGAACAUAACAGAAACACGUAAACGAGUUCCUUCGCAGGAAAGUUCUGGAGUUCACUUGUUCGGCGUCUCUGACUUGCCGUCUCUGACCUGGCAGACACUUAAAAUAAAGGUGUAUUCUUCGGUCCAAACGCAUUAAAGUGCGAGAACAUGAGUACGUGACGUUAAGUUGAGUGCAUGCUGCAUUCGAGAAAACGACGGCCAAGUGCGAAUUUUGUUUGGCCCAUGUAAAUACUGUCUUAGGUUAUUACUUUGCCUCCUUCUUCUUCU